rnacentral:rRNA from 1 species
ACUCCUACGGGAGGCAGCAGUGGGGAAUCUUGCGCAAUGCGCGAAAGCGUGACGCAGCAACGCCGCGUGGGGGAAGACGGCCUUCGGGUUGUAAACCCCUUUCAGGAGGGACGAAGGUUCGGCGGUUAAUAGCCGUCCGGACUGACGGUACCUCCAGAAGAAGCCCCGGCUAACUACGUGCCAGCAGCCGCGGUAAUACGAAGGGGGCUAGCGUUGUUCGGAAUCACUGGGCGUAAAGGGCGCGUAGGCGGCCGAUCAAGUCGGGGGUGAAAGCCUGUGGCUCAACCACAGAAUGGCCUUCGAUACUGUUUGGCUUGAGACCGGAAGAGGUCAGUGGAACUGCGAGUGUAGAGGUGAAAUUCGUAGAUAUUCGCAAGAACACCAGUGGCGAAGGCGGCUGACUGGUCCGGUUCUGACGCUGAGGCGCGAAAGCGUGGGGAGCAAACAGGAUUAGAUACCCUGGUAG